UGGGGAAUAUUGCGCAAUGGGCGAAAGCCUGACGCAGCGACGCCGCUUGAGGGAUGAAGGUUUUCGGAUCGUAAACCUCUGUCAGAAGGGAAGAAACCGCACUGUGCUAAUCAGCAGUGCCUUGACGGUACCUUCAAAGGAAGCACCGGCUAACUCCGUUCCAGCAGCCGCGGUAAUACGGAGGGUGCAAGCGUUAAUCGGAAUUACUGGGCGUAAAGCGCACGUAGGCUGCUUUGUAAGUCAGGGGUGAAAUCCCACGGCUCAACCGUGGAACUGCCUUUGAUACUGCUUAGCUUGAAUCCGGGAGAGGGUGGCGGAAUUCCAGGUGUAGGAGUGAAAUCCGUAGAUAUCUGGAGGAACAUCAGUGGCGAAGGCGGCCACCUGGACCGGUAUUGACGCUGAGGUGCGAAAGCGUGGGGAGCAAACAGG
rnacentral:rRNA from 1 species